ensembl:processed_transcript Six3os1 SIX homeobox 3, opposite strand 1
CGGCCGCGCCUUGUAAGCGCUAAGCCGGGAGGAGGGCGCAGGCAGGGCGCACAGCUCUGAGCGGGACCCUACCCGGCUCGGGCCCGCAGCAGCCCCGACUGUCCGAGAGCCUCUCCGCAAGCAAGGCUCUGCGCCGCCCUCUGAGCCCACCUCCUGGCCACAACGCUGCCUGCGCUUCUCCAGCCCAGGCCGGAAGCCCUAUGCUGCCUCCCGAAGCCGGACUUUCUGGAAGCCCAUCUUCGUAUCCUCACCAGCCCACCCUCCUACGCUGGUCAGAGUGAGAUUGCUAACCUCAAGACCCCAUUCAAUGCCAGCUUUCAACUACUGCUGAAGACCAAUGUAGGUCCUGGAAUAGAAGAACUGCAGAGUAUCCCUAAGGUCUCCUCUUCAUCUGGCAUGUGUGUUCACAGAAGGUACAGUGUGCGAGAACACACUUAGGAAAUUUUAGGAACGCUAACCACAGUACUGGAGGAAUAAAGAUGUGUCGAAGGAAUGGAUGGAAUGCAUGAACACAUACACCUUGUUGUCCAGAUGCAGACAAAAGCUACCAUGUCCGCUUGGAGUGACGCCCAGACACGCACAGAGAUGUACAGGAAGCCAAGGAGAGUGGGAUCCACCAGAGUACAGUACAAGUACAGAGUACAGUGCAAGAUGCCCAGUGGCCCUGGAGAAAAACCUUCGUUGACUCUUCUGUAUGGAAAGUUUCUGAAGAAAGGGCCAAGGAAUGAUCUGCCCCAGAGGCUGCCUUUAGGCUCCCAUACCUGCUCUGUUUGGAGACACCCAGAAGAGGCCAGUACAGCAAAGACUCUUUUUGGUUUGGUUAUUUCUGUUGCUUGUUGUCUUUUUUUCAUCCUUUGCCUGGGAAAUUGUGCUCUGGAAUAGGGCUUGAGUAGACAGCACAGGCCUCCAGUAGAUAACAAGAGAUUCUCAAUCUCCAAUGAGGACAUUCCGUUCUAAGGAAGCUUCCAGAUAGGGGAAAGCCCUGUUUUGUCCCCCUUUUCUCCUCUGAGAUCUGAAAAAAUAGAAAGAAAAAAAAAAAGAAAAACAAAACAAAUAUAAAAACUAUAGCCCAAUCCCAUGUACAUCAAAUAAAUCCACAAGGAAUAUGCUAGAUCAAGCUAAAUUAUGUAUUUAACUCAUUUUCUUUUGUGAGAUACUGAGAAGUCUUCAACUUCCUCUAUUCCAGGCAGGGAUCGAGGACCUGGCCUGGCAGAGGUUCCACCACCAGGGUUUCCCACAGUGGUUCUGGGACUAGGCAUAAGGUGUCCUGACUUGUUUUCUCUGUCACCUCUUCUGGGGAACUGGGGAACUGUCCCAGACAAUGGCUGCCCCAGUUCCCUCUAGAAGAAACAGCCCCCACCCCCAGAACCCGUUGCCCUCCAACCUCACCUCAUUUUCUCUUGAGCUCAUUCUCCGAGCUCUUAAAGUAGUAGGUGUGAGUCUUGGACCAUUUCUUUAAAAGAAACAACUAAGGAAAGGGAGGGAGGGAAGGAGGGAGGAGGGGAGCGGGAAGGAGAGCUACCCCCCUAGACUAACGCGUCCAGGAACCACUCUCUAAGGAGCAAAAGAGAGCCUGUGUUGUAAAGUAGAAGUGAUCCCCCGACAUUGCUGCAGGGCGCCUUGCAACAGAUGUAACUGUCCACUGAAGAGACAGAGGGUGGGCAUGGGGAAGAUUUUUUUUCCUCCCUUUUGUGAACAGCUCUUACACUUUUCCAAGACACAUUUAGUUCCUGGACAUUUUUGUGAAUUUGUUCUUGAUUGUGUUUUGAACAAUAAACUGUGAAAAUCAA